AUACGUAGGGGGCGAGCGUUGUCCGGAAUUACUGGGCGUAAAGGGCGCGUAGGCGGUUAAUUAAGUCAGAUGUGAAACCCCUCGGCUUAACCGGGGACUGGCAUUUGAAACUGGUUAACUUGAGUGCAGGAGAGGAAAGUGGAAUUCCUAGUGUAGCGGUGAAAUGCGUAGAGAUUAGGAGGAACACCAGUGGCGAAGGCGGCUUUCUGGACUGUAACUGACGCUGAGGCGCGAAAGCGUGGGGAGCAAACAGGAUUAGAUACCCUGGUAGUCCACGCCGUAAACGAUGGAUACUAGGUGUAGGAGGUAUCGACCCCUUCUGUGCCGGAGUAAACGCAAUAAGUAUCCCGCCUGGGGAGUACGGCCGCAAGGUUGAA
rnacentral:rRNA from 1 species